UGGCGCCUCCCCCGCGCGCGGGGCCCCAGCGACCCCGCCACUUCCCCGCGCUGGGCGGGAGGGUCCGUGACUCAGCGCCAGCUCCGGGCCCGGGGGCCGCGCCUCGUCAAAGCGACCCUCCGCCUCCCGCCUUGCAGCCGCCGCGAGCCGAGGGGCAAAGCCGCCAUCACGGGCACCCCCCGGGCUGCCUCAGCAGACAUGAAACCGCGCAGCCGGGGCGGGCGGGGGAGGAGCCCUGCGCUGGAUCCCGGCCUCCCCAGGAACCGGCAGCGGCCGUUUAAACCCGUGUCACGGCCACAAGCUUUAGCCUCCAACUUUUCCCCACGUGGCAGAACAAUGGCUCGGCCGCCGCUGGGCCUGCGAGCGCGUGAUUCGCUGAGGAGAAGAGAAGCGAAUGACUCUGACAGCAACACCGAUACGUUACACGUUACACACCUGUUGCACAAGACCUUCCUUCCAAACCCGCUGCUCUGGAGGAGGCUCUUCCUUGACAACUUAGUUCAGUUUCACCCAUAUUGUGAGGAGAGAAAGAAUAAAAUCACCCAGCUCUGAUACUAGAACUCCACUACCUGCAGUUUAUAGACUCUUACAUGCCUAGCCGUCUUCUCCUAUAAGAGGCAACUAAGAGGAUUAGGGAACACUGCAAACCGCUGAGAUAAUCUAGGAUAUUAAGGGAUAUGUUUUCACAUGCGGAAAAUAUAUUUUCUAGUUUCAUGUACUUGAGAGAAAUAAAACCAAUAAACCCCUAGCCAGGGCUGAUGCACAAACACUUUCUCUACCAAAAAAGUGCAAGAUGUAGGAGGAAUGAGAGAAGCAACUGCAAGAAUUUUCUUCAACUUCUAGCUAAAUGGCAUCAAUAGCAAUCAUUCACCAUUUGGUCUGUUCCUGUAUGGCUGCGAGGGCUUGACAGGUCAAAAGUGCAUGGCCUGUACAGAUUUGAUUGCAAGAAUACUCGUGACAAAGAGUCAUGAACUGCAUCUCAGCUUUUAAGAAAGUAAUGAACUUGACUUGAGCAGGUAACCAGACACUGUGGAAGUGACAGCUAGAAUGCCGAUUAAAAGAGGUCUAAAAUUUAAGUCUGCCUGCUGUUUGAAAAGUAACAUGGAAAAUUAAAAUCUCCCAUUAAGGAAAUUCACUCCACAAAGCCAGCAGGAAGAGCCUGGUUGCGUGUGUGAAUCACUCAGGUUAAACAUUUAAUGUACAUCCACCUACACAAAUAUUUCCUCCUUUCUCUUACUCCAUACCGAAUAUUUCCCCUUCCCACCCCCCAAAUGGAUAAAACAGAUUGAGGACAGAAGGUAACUGCAAAUUAUCCCCAGGAUAACAAAACUACAAGAGUGCUCCAAUUCUUAAGGUUAGUGGUACUCAGGUAUCCUGUUCUCAUUUAACAGAUAUAGCUACAUAACAGAUACAUCAUAAAGUAGCAUCUAUAAAACCAAAAUGCUUAAAGUCUUGGAAGUGGCCUCCAUGGCUAGCUCAGUGUUUAAGACACUUUGAGAAGCCGAUACUGUGAUACAAGUUGGCAGUCAUCAGUGAAAACGAUGAACUAGCUUCCGCUCAACAAAAAGCAACCUACAGAGCAGGCAAUGACAGUCGUUGACAAGUACCAGCUUGAGUCCACUAUGAUGAUCUUCCCCGGAGGGACAUAAGGAACUAAUACCUGAAUAUCACCAUUGCAACGACCACUGGAAUAUACAUAGAUUAAUCUGUCUUGUGGGGAACAUGCUAGGAGUUUCCCCUUGGCUCAGUUAGCAGAUAUCAAUGGAACUGAUGGUCACAUCGAGAACAAGGAUUACUGGGCCACAGACUGAAAUUUGGUUGCUGGCUGAAGGUUGUUAAAACCCUGCUUACUGGAAACACCCCUUUUAAUUUUCUUUCAAAUACCCAAAGGCAACUGUUUCUCUGACUCUAAAUUGUACUCUUUUUUAACCUUACAAUGAAUGGAUUCCCCAAGUUUCCACUACAAAAUUCAGAUUUUCCCUGGAAGCAGGAUUUGUAUUUAUGAAGCCAAACUACCAUCACUAUGACUAGUCUAUGCCAACAGACAAGAAUGUGGAAUUAGGGUCAGUGGAGACACAGACAAUAUCCAUCUUUCUAAUAAAAAAUAAAAACCCUUACAAACAUCUUA